CAGCAGCCGCGGGAAUACGUAGGUGGCAAGCGUUGUCCGGAAUUAUUGGGCGUAAAGCGCGCGCAGGCGGUUUCUUAAGUCUGAUGUGAAAGCCCCCGGCUUAACCGGGGAGGGUCAUUGGAAACUGGGAGACUUAGAGUGCAGAAGAGGAGAGUGGAAUUCCAUGUGUAGCGGUGAAAUGCGUAGAUAUAUGGAGGAACACCAGUGGCGAAGGCGACUCUCUGGUCUGUAACUGACGCUGAGGCGCGAAAGCGUGGGGAGCAAACAGGAUUAGAUACCCGGGUAGUCCCUGUCUCUUAUA
rnacentral:rRNA from 1 species